rnacentral:rRNA from 1 species
GACGAACGCUGGCGGCGUGCUUAACACAUGCAAGUCGAGCGAGAAAGCUCCUUCGGGAGUGAGUACAGCGGCGAACGGGUGAGUAACACGUGGGCAACCUGCCCUAGGGAGCGGGACAACCCGAGGAAACUCGGGCUAAUACCGCAUGAUUCGUCAUGUCUCAAGGCAUGACGGGAAAUGGUAGCUUCGGCCUCCGCCCUAGGAUGGGCCCGCGGCGCAUUAGCUUGUUGGNGUGGGUAACGGCUCACCAAGGCGACGAUGCGUAGCUGGUCUGAGAGGACGAUCAGCCACACUGGGACUGAGACACGGCCCAGACUCCUACGGGAGGCAGCAGUGGGGAAUCUUGCGCAAUGGGCGGAAGCCUGACGCAGCAACGCCGCGUGAGGGAAG